rnacentral:rRNA from 1 species
UACGGGGGGAGCAAGCGUUGUUCGGAUUUACUGGGCGUAAAGGGCGCGUAGGCGGCGCAACAAGUCACUUGUGAAAAUCUCCGGGCUUAACCCGGAGCGGCCAAGUGAUACUGUCGUGCUAGAGUGCGGAAGGGGCUACUGGAAUUCUCGGUGUAGCGGUGAAAUGCGUAGAGUAUCGGAAGGAACAUCAGUGGCGAAAGCGGCUUCCUGGACCAGUACCGACGUCAGGCACGAAAGCGUGGGGAGCAAACAGG